GACGAACGCUGGCGGCGUGCUUAACACAUGCAAGUCGAACGAAGUGGCGAACGGGUGAGUAACGCGUAAUCAACCUGCCCUUCAGAGGGGGACAACAGUUGGCAACGACUGCUAAUACCGCAUACUGAAGGAGGGGAUUGCGUCUGUUUAGCUAGUUGGAGGGGUAACGGCCCACCAAGGCGAUGAUCAGUAGCCGGGCUGGGAGGGUGAACGGCCCAAUCGGGACUGAGACACGGCCCAGACUCCUAAGGGAGGCAGCAGUGGGGAAUCUUCCGAAAUGGAGGGAAGGCUGACUGCGCAACGGCGCGGGAGUGAUGACGGGCUUCGGGUUGGAAAGCUCUGUUAAGCGGGACGCGGUACCGGAAUAGAAAGCCACGGCUAACUACGUGCCAGCAGCCGCGGUAAUUC
rnacentral:rRNA from 1 species